AAGAUUAAUUAUUGCUAACGAAAUACGGUCUGAGUGGAGAUCGGUUACACAUGUUUUGAAAGGCUGUAACAUUUACGAUUUGAAAAUAAUACGUUUCUUAAAUUGUCUAGUUUUUCCUACGUUUAUUCCCAUUUAUUAUGAAAACUCCUAGAAAAAUCAAAAAAUGAUCUUUUUAAAGUACCUCCGAAGUUAUCCCAGCAAAU